rnacentral:rRNA from 1 species
UGGGGAAUCUUGGACAAUGGGCGCAAGCCUGAUCCAGCCAUGCCGCGUGGAUGAUGAAGGCCCUAGGGUUGUAAAAUCCUUUCGUUGGGGACGAUAAUGACGGUACCCAAAGAAGAAGCUCCGGCUAACUUCGUGCCAGCAGCCGCGGUAAUACGAAGGGGGCUAGCGUUGUUCGGAUUUACUGGGCGUAAAGCGCGUGUAGGCGGGUCGUUAAGUUGGGGGUGAAAUCCCGAGGCUCAACCUCGGAACUGCCUUCAAAACUGGCGACCUGGACUCAAGUAGAGGCAAGUGGAAUUGCGAGUGUAGAGGUGAAAUUCGUAGAUAUUCGCAGGAACACCAGUGGCGAAGGCGACUUGCUGGACUUAUGGUGACGCUGAGACGCGAAAGCGUGGGGAGCAAACAGGAUUAGAUACCCAGGUAGUCCCUGAGCGGGCUGGCAAGGCGCAU